GAAAACCUGAAAAUGCUUCCUUUGCCUCCAUUUGGAGAUGGUUUUCCUUAAGAGUCUCAUUAGAUGAUCUAAGCCUUUGAAAUUCAUUUGCUAUGGCAGAUGGCUAGCUAUCCACUCAAACCGCACGAUCCCCUUUCCAUAGCAAGGAGUUCCACUGGGAGGCAACUUCCCAGCCAGGGACCACAUGACCCAGCUCCCGUUGCAUCAUUGUGUGGCCAUCUGAUUUGUCCUUACCAAUGGAACAUGAGCAGAAGUGAUGUGUGUCACUUCUGGGUCAGGGUUUCUUAAGAAGUGGAUGCCUUUUCCAUUUUUCUUUCCUUCUCUGCCAUCCGAGUGCAGAUAACUUUAAAGCCCUAGGGGGAACUGGAAUCAUAAGAUUGAAAGAGCCUGAGGACCUGAACCACCGCCUGGAAGAAAGUUGCCUGCUGACCAGAAACACCUUCCCUGGGCUUUGACCAGGGUGCUGAAGAUUUUCACCUGGCUUACGGCACUUGGACCUCCUGACACAGAGAUGCUAAGAGCAAUGACCCCUCCUCAUGUCCAGCAGGGAACAUCUGGGGAAGAUUAGCCCUGAGCUAACAUCUGCCGCCAAUCCUCCUCUUUUUGCUGAGAAAGACUGGCCCUGAGCUAACAUCCGUGCCCAUCUUCCUCUACUUUAUACGUGGGAUGCCUGCAACAGCAUGGCUUGCUGAGUGGUGCCAUGUCCGCACCCAGGAUCUGAACCAGUGAAUCCCAGGCUGCCGAAGUGGAACGUGUGAACUUAACUGCUGCACCACCAGGCCGGCCCCAUGGACCUUUAAACCCUCUUGAAUGUCAUGUAGUCAUCUCAAAUUCAGAAUGUCUAGAAAUGAACUCAUCCCCCUUACUUGUCAAACUAGCCCC
rnacentral:lncRNA from 1 species